GGGGAUGUAGCUCAGAGGUAGAGCGCUUGCCUAGCAGUUGGAGGCACUGAGUUCGAUCCUCAGCACCACA
rnacentral:tRNA from 1 species